ensembl:lncRNA
CACAUGAUUUACACUGUGACAUGGAGAUCACAGGACCUCACACCUCCGGCGGUGGAGAGGAUCCGAGGACCCAUUCUCAAGGGCUUAGCGUUGUGCCUGGACCAGAGGAAGCAGUCAAUCCAUAUAAUGAUACUGAGGAAUGGAAAAAGACUUGCCAAAAGUCACCAAAGUAAAUUUCAGAGCUGGAAUUUGAAUUCAAGUUUUCUUGGUUCCAGUUCCUGUGAGGUGUUACUGGAAAGUUCAGAGAGUAGCCUGGAUCCAUGCACUUGCAUUCUACCUAAUCAGAUGCCCUCGAAUGGUUGGAAGGCUGAAAAGUUAGGAGCUCCAGGAAUAGCCGCCAGAUUCACACACAGACGAGCAAUUUACAGCACACCAGGAGUGUCUCCAUGCAAACAGAGGUUGUGAGCAUCUUCAGACUGGCGAUUACUGUAAUUAUGCUGAGAAACAGAGGGCUGGCUGAGAUUAGAACUGGGGAUUACAAGGAAAUCGUUGAAGACAACUCACGCUUCUAUCGACUCUAGGAACACUGGGAACGACGUUCUACACAAUAUUGCCCAUGUCCUCUAAGAUCCAUGUGACUGUUUCUCCAGAUUUCAGCAACAGAGAAAGAAAAGAAGCAAUCAUCAACUCACUUGGAAAUACUUGAUAAGGCUUACUGUGUGACAAUGGAGUGAAUGCUGCUAUGUCCAAGCUGUCAACACAUUUUACUGUGACAUUGGUGAAUGUUUUAGGUUGCAUUACAGAGCUCGGUGUCCAGAAAGAGAGACUAGUGUGACAGCAUGGACUGGAGGUGGUGGAAGAUAAAUCAAGCUCAGUUUAUCCCUCUUAUUCCUAAGGAAAAACACAUCCCUCAUGGAGGCAGACAACUGUCUCACGUUGCUCUGGUGUUUACAGAAAGACAGAGCAGACUGUGGUGUGGGAGGGGGUGUAGAUAUGUGGUGUCGCCUUAAGGAUUCUGAAUGUCUAGAUCAUUUCUUUUUGGGCACAAUUUGGAAAUUUAUUUGGGAAUCCUGCGGUAUAGCCCACAUGAUUUGGGUGUUUCUUGGGGAUGAUGUGAAUAUUGGAUUCUCUAUUUAGAAAUUGUGUCUUGAUUAAGCCCUUUUCACUCUUUGAAUAUUUUUGAUUUUUAUUUCAAAAUAACCCAGUCCUUCUACUUAUGAGACACACCUAGGGCACCAUGACUAAUGCUUUAUUGUGGCUUUCUUACCUCAGCCUCUUCUUUCCCCUCCACUGCAGACAACCAGUUGGAAGCGUCUGUCAUACCUGCUUCCACUCUUUUUUUUAUCAUGCUCAGAUACGUGCAUAUACAGUUCUUGUUUGCAUUGCUGUGUGUAAAAUUCUUCCGUAUUAUAUACAUUUAUCUGCACCUUGAUUUUGUCACUUAAAAUAUAUUAUGGAGAUAUUUCCAGCUAACUGGUAUAGUUAUAAACCAUCUAUGGGAUGAAGAUAUCUUAAUUUAUUAGAGUAUUGCCCUUUGGUAGCUUUCAAUUUAUUUCUAUGUCUUUUGUUCUUUUCUGUUUUGUUUUGCCCCUGAAAGACCUGAUUGUGAUAAUCUUCCUUAUUCCUGAGUGUACCAGCAUUUUAAUUUUAGGAGAUAGAUUUACAAGAAUGGGAUUACUGGAUUAAAAUGUGUAUUUUAGUUGAUAUUACUAGAUUUCUUUUCCCAAAAGCUAUAACUAAUCUUAUUUUCACUGGCCUUAUUUGACGGUAUAAUUUCCCCUGUAUUCUGUUAGCAAUAGGUGUUAGCAUUUUUGUAUUUUACCAGUCUCAAUGGUACAUGACAUCCCAUAAUGACAUUAAUUUUCCCUUUACUGGUUAUCUGAAUCUGAACUCGUUCCCAACCCAUGAAUCACCUCAUCAGUGUUGCUGCCUGUGUUCCACUGUCUUUUGUUCCUACACAUUAUAAGGCCUUUUUGUAUAUCACAGAUACAACUCCAUCUGUUUUAUAGGUUUAAAUAUUUUUCCAGUGAUCACUCUUCUAAUAUUUUUCGUUAAUCAUGUCUGUUGCCAUAGGAAAAAUUUCCAUUUUUUUUUUUAAAGAUUUUAUUUUUUGCCUUUUUCUCCCCAAAGCCCCCAGGUACAUAGUUGUAUAUUCUUUGUUGUGGGUCCUCCUAGUUGUGGCAUGUGGG